rnacentral:rRNA from 1 species
AACGCGAAGAACCUUACCCAGAUUUGACAUGCAGUAGACAACGCUAGAAAUAGCGUCUUCCUUCGGGACUGCUGCACAGGUGCUGCAUGGCUGUCGUCAGCUCGUGCCGUGAGGUGUUGGGUUAAGUCCCGCAACGAGCGCAACCCUUAUCAUUAGUUGCCAACACGUUAUGGUGGGAACUCUAAUGAGACUGCCUGGGGUUAACCAGGAGGAAGGUGAGGAUGACGUCAAGUCCGCAUGGCCCUUAUGUCUGGGGCUACACACGUGCUACAAUGGUCGGUACAGAAGGCAGCGAAGCCGCGAGGUGAAGCAAAUCCAAAAAGCCGAUCUCAGUUCAGAUUGUAGUCUGCAACUCGACUACAUGAAGACGGAAUUGCUAGUAAUGGCGAGUCAGCAACAUCGCCGUGAAUACGUUCCGGGCCUUGUACACACCGCACGA